GUGACAUACCUAUAACUGUUGCUUCGGCGGGUAGGGUCUCCGUGACCCUCCCGGCCUCCCGCCCCCGGGCGGGUCGGCGCCCGCCGGAGGAUAACCAAACUCUGAUUUAACGACGUUUCUUCUGAGUGGUACAAGCAAAUAAUCAAAACUUUUAACAACGGAUCUCUUGGUUCUGGCAUCGAUGAAGAACGCAGCGAAAUGCGAUAAGUAAUGUGAAUUGCAGAAUUCAGUGAAUCAUCGAAUCUUUGAACGCACAUUGCGCCCGCCAGCAUUCUGGCGGGCAUGCCUGUUCGAGCGUCAUUUCAACCCUCAAGCUCUGCUUGGUGUUGGGGCCCUACAGCUGAUGUAGGCCCUCAAAGGUAGUGGCGGACCCUCCCGGAGCCUCCUUUGCGUAGUAACUUUACGUCUCGCACUGGGAUCCGGAGGGACUCUUGCCGUAAAACCCCCAAUUUUCCAAAGGUUGACCUCGGAUCAGGUAGGAAUACCCGCUGAACUUAAGCAUAUCAAUA
rnacentral:rRNA from 1 species